rnacentral:lncRNA from 1 species
ACUGCUGUUGCUUGAGACUCUGCCCGUGGUGGCGCGCCUGUCGUGCUUGUUGCUUGCGUCCAGCGCGCAGUGCCGGUUCCGGCUCUGCAGACGCCGCACUGCCUGCCUGUUGAGCGAAAGGUCACAGUGAGAACAAGUGUUUCUGGAGACUGCGAGGGAAAUAAUGCUGUUGGUGGCCUUCUGGAGUAGGCAGUUACCCCCCGUGUACCUUCAGUCAAGCCCUGGGAGUGGAACAGCUGCGAAAGGAGAGAAAACACCCCGCAAAACAGGGUGGAGAUGGCGUUGGUUUAACUUGUCUCACGUACGCCAAAGUUCGAGGCCCCAUUUUUUUUUUUUUUUUUUUUGAGACUGAGUUUCGCUCUCGUUGCCCAGGCUGGAGUGCAAUGGUGCGAUCUCGGCUCACCGCAACUUCCGCGAGGCCCCUUCUUAUCCUAAAAAACACACUUGGGAAUCACAGCUCAAGCUUCGGUAACACUAUUUACUUUAAAAUAAAAAUUUUUAAAGCUUUAAAUCAAUACAGGAAAUAAGUGGAAUGUUAAAAGGAACUACUGAAAAUUCCAAAUUCUCAGGAGGCUUGAAAUAAAAACAUCUUGUGCGAAUGAGGA